rnacentral:lncRNA from 1 species
UCGAUGGAUUUCUCGCAGCUUGGCUACCUGUUGCUUUGGAUCCGGUACGAUCCCCAUCUCUCUCUCUCCGAGAAAAAACUCUUUAUUUGAAUGACCAAGAAUCUGUGGUGUGCUCCUAAACUGCAAGGAACACUCCACUACGAAACUCACUUAAGCAGGCUGAUAGAUGAUACCUUGUCUUGAGCCUAUUUUCUCAAAAUAAUGAGAGGCUGAAUGAUUCAGACACAGGCUGAACCAUCUUUCUCACCUCAUCAUUUUGUUACAUUUGAUUACAACCCAAACCCUAUGCUGAAUCAGGCGAGCUCUUGUUGCCGGAUCACUGGCCAAUCGUCGGGUUGGCGGCCACGUCAGUUCCGCACCGCUGCCAGCGACCGCCGUUCUGUUGCCUUGGAUUCGGGUGUGGCGUUGGCUGGGAACCGUAUGGUGUUUGUCUGACGUGUCGUCCGCAUCAUGGGGGUUUGGUCGGUUGACUCCAGGUAUGAGCAGCUCCUGAGCUUGAUGGUUGGAUGUGUGCACACAUGUAACGGGGUAUCAUGGUCAUGUUGCUUGGUGUGCAGAGGCAACCUCAUUUUUGGACCAAAAAGAGGGGCGAUGACGAUGAUGACUGGCUGAAACAAUCAUGUCUUGAGCAUCAAGACAACCUUGGCUUGUGGGACUAAACAGAGCUGAAAGAGUCGGUGUCACCGUUGGAGUUGCCCUUAGAGCCUACCCUUACCUCUGUUGUAGCCUGCUCAAUUUUAUUGCCGAUGUUGGAUGAUCUGUGCCUUGGACGGUCAUUCUGAUGAGUGAUACUCUGGGACCAGGUCUAUUUCAACACACACGAACCCAUUGACCUCCCAUGUUCCUGGGGAGCGUUGCAUGUCAGAAAAGUUAGGGUUUGUGUCACACAAAGUUCAGCAUUGACACUUAGAAAGUAAGUGAAAAGAGAUAUGCCAUUUUUUGAGGCUAUCUACAAUCCCGUUUAAAGGCAACUGCUAAACACUGAAGGGCAAUGGAACUCAAUUUGUCAGUAUCGCAAUUUGAUAAAUUGUAUUAGUGGUAUUUCUUGGAUUUAUAUAAGAAAAACAAAAAUAGCUACCUUUGUGUGAAUUGCAGUGCUAAUGAUCAGUUCUUUGUAUCAGACAUGAAUGGACAGAUUCAAGAUUUCCUUUCACCUAGGCUUGGUUAGUUGGCCACUUCAAUUCCCACUUUCUGUCAUGUAAUCUUGAUGUCGAUACUUCGACAUUACAUACAGAAUAUGAUGCAUUAUGUAGAAGUUACUAAUGGUCAAAAAAAUUCUGGAUACGACACCUGCUUACUCCUAUUCACAUUAUGUAGAAGUUGCAUAAGGCAGAACAAGAAUAAGAACAUUUGUCAUUUUUUCAUGUGCAGGUUCAGCAACGGGCAAUGCUCAAGACAGAGUUGGGCGCACAUCAUAUAUAUACAUAUGUUGUCGUGUCUUAAUAAAUGGAGAUGAGCAGAAGUAGAGAUGAGAUAUCUAUCCGACUGUCAUCCUUCCAAGACUUGGCUUUGUCAUCUCUGUCAGCGCCCGCCUCCGCUUCCUUUGUUGGUUGUCGUUUCUUUGUACACUGCUGUAGUUUAGAGAUCAUAAUAUAUUUUCCAUGGAUACAAUUGAAUACGACACCCAAUUUGCUAUAUAAUUGUCCAGCUCUCUCUCAUAGCGAUUCAUACAAAAUAUCAUGCAUAGUGGUCCCAGCUUAAGUAGAAUAUAACCAUUGGAUUGUUCAAACUUUGCUCGUGUUUCGCAGGGCACCAUAACUCUAAUCUGACAUGAGCAGUGCAACCACGACAGUGAGCAGUGGAACCGCAAGAUAAAGAUAGAUACAAGUAGAAUAUAACUGGUCAUAUUUCUAAAAUGAUCACACUACUUAUGGUGCCGGAAGAGAAGGCAUCAGUGAUAGUGGGCUUGGUGAUGAGGGCAUCAAUACGAAGAGAUUAAUUCACAACUUUGUUCUUGAUAGGUUGUAC